ACGCAGAUAGCUCAGGUGGUAGAGCGCCGCUUCGACAUAGCGGAGGUCGCGCUGGUUCAAGUCCAGCUCUGCGUA
rnacentral:tRNA from 1 species